CUCGCCCGCGCGCGAAUGGACUGGGUCCUGGGUCCGGCUUCCUUUGAUCUCGGUGCACGUGCACAGACGAAGUGCAUAGUAUGACUCAUGCGAAAUCAGCCAGCAUUUAUUGGACCGUGGGGGCCACUGGCAGCUACGGAUCAAUUAUAACGAACUGAAAGCAUCAGCCGCUUUUGUACAACAUUUCGCGGAUUCCGUGAGAUAUUCGGUACCUUGCUUGGAGAGAUUCAGUUGGGAUGAUACAGUAUUAAUGGUUAUUAACAGGAAGAUUCCAACGUGAGGAUUCCCCCGUGAAAAAUCAGUAUGGAUUGGACAGUGUCAGAAAGCACUUUGAUAGGAAUUGAAAGGCACUAUGCUGGUGAUCGGCAGGCCCGUACCAAGAGUAUAGGACACAUGGCUGAUUUCUUGUGUAAUGAGACAGAGAACGGCCCUCCUCCUCCUCUCCAGACCCACAGCCUCAGAGAGUUUGAACAGGUAAGGGCUUGUCUUCCUCUCUCCUGUUCUUAUGGUCUGGUACAGUGUUGUAGUCAUUGGAAAGAGGUGUUCAGGCCUGUCAGAAUUGUCUGAUAAUGUGUUUCUAGGUGUGUUUGUGAUGAUUAUGUGGUAACUGAACCUCUGACUAUGAGUCAAGAAGACUAUGGGUAAAAAAGAUUCCAGUCUCCUGUAAUUUCCCCCAAUCCCUAUCAUUGCUCUCCUCACCUUAUCCUUCCUGCAUAAUGGCCACGUAGAACUGGACUGUAAAUAGCCCAUACACUCAAGCACACAAGUAGAGAAAUCGAAAUAAAUGAUAUUGUGUUUGUGACGCAGUGCAGCUCUGGUAUACUACUAUACAGUUAGUGGUGUUUAUGGUUGUGGAUGGAGGAGGUUGGUUUCCCUCUCCUCUAGUGCUCAGACAUUGUAAUAGGUUCUGGGCUGAGCGCCAGGCUAUUAUGGUUCUGAUAUAACUCUAGAAGUGCUUGCUUCAAUUACCAUAGUCUUGGUGAAGGACAGGACUUCAGGGAAGGGAGGAAUGGGGAAUCUGUGAUUUGAUAUGGGGGUUAGGGGGAAAGGGUGGUAGUGGGGGCUGGAUGGCUGAAGUAAUGUCAAUAGGGAGGGAUAACAUUGUAAGGGUGAUUUUUCUGGAGCUUACAGUGUAGUGGUUUGUUUGGGGGUUAAUCAUUUUGGAAACCAGGAAGCCAUUGGCGUAGUCUAGUCACUCGGGGUAAUCCAAGGCUUGCUUUUCCCAACGAAGUCGACCGCGUAGCAGAGUCCCCAAACCAAUCUAGCACAACGCAUUGAAUCCUGGGAAGUGAUGUGGGGGCUGACUGAUCCAGUGUGUUGUCUCUGGAGGCGACUCCGGCUGCCUUUGAAGUCUGUCUGCAGCCUGCAACUGGCUGCUUCAUAGAGGGG
rnacentral:lncRNA from 8 species